rnacentral:misc_RNA from 1 species
GGAUAUGUCUUUGGGUCCUUGUCAUGGAGGAACAAAAGAACAUGGGUAACAUCUCCACUUGUUGUCAGAGUGGCACAUUCCAAUAUGGGUACUGUGGUAUAGUUCAGCUGCAGUGCUAUUUAUUUGUGUUAUAUAAGGUAAGUAACAAGAUAUUGCAACCAGUAGCUGCUGAAAAUGGUUGCAUGAAGAAGCCAACACAAAAUUCUUAGAAGAAUACAUGUAAUUAGUAGCAGAAUACAAA